AAGUCGUAACAAGGUAACCGUAGGUGAACCUGCGGUUGGAUCAUUAGUAAAUCAAAGGCCCGCAAGGGUCAUAUAAACCAUGUGCACUUAACAAUUGUUUUUGGGCUUGUACAUUAUUACUGUACUUGCCCAACCAUUUUAUAAACCCUUUACUGUUUAAUCUGAUUUUUAUUAAAAAUUUUUUAAUAACUUUUGACAACGGAUCUCUUGGCUCUC
rnacentral:misc_RNA from 1 species